UGCGCAGGCGGAUUGGUAGGCAUCUCGUGAAAGCCCACGGCUCAACCGUGGAAUUGCGGGGUGAACCACCAAUCUUGAGGCAGGUAGGGGUCGAUGGAACCAUGAGUGGACCGGUGAAAUGGAUAGAUAUUCAUGGGAACGCCAACGGCGAAGGCAAUCGACUGGGCCUGUCCUGACGCUCAGGCACGAAAGCGUGGGGAGCGAACG
rnacentral:rRNA from 1 species